GAUUGAACGCUGGCGGCAUGCCUUACACAUGCAAGUCGAACGGCAGCACGGGUGCUUGCACCUGGUGGCGAGUGGCGAACGGGUGAGUAAUACAUCGGAACAUGUCCUGUAGUGGGGGAUAGCCCGGCGAAAGCCGGAUUAAUACCGCAUACGAUCUACGGAUGAAAGCGGGGGACCUUCGGGCCUCGCGCUAUAGGGUUGGCCGAUGGCUGAUUAGCUAGUUGGUGGGGUAAAGGCCUACCAAGGCGACGAUCAGUAGCUGGUCUGAGAGGACGACCAGCCACACUGGGACUGAGACACGGCCCAGACUCCUACGGGAGGCAGCAGUGGGGAAUUUUGGACAAUGGGCGAAAGCCUGAUCCAGCAAUGCCGCGUGUGUGAAGAAGGCCUUCGGGUUGUAAAGCACUUUUGUCCGGAAAGAAAUCCUUGGCUCUAAUACAGUCGGGGGAUGACGGUACCGGAAGAAUAAGCACCGGCUAACUACGUGCCAGCAGCCGCGGUAAUACGUAGGGUGCGAGCGUUAAUCGGAAUUACUGGGCGUAAAGCGUGCGCAGGCGGUUUGCUAAGACCGAUGUGAAAUCCCCGGGCUCAACCUGGGAACUGCAUUGGUGACUGGCAGGCUAGAGUAUGGCAGAGGGGGGUAGAAUUCCACGUGUAGCAGUGAAAUGCGUAGAGAUGUGGAGGAAUACCGAUGGCGAAAGCAGCCCCCUGGGCCAAUACUGACGCUCAUGCACGAAAGCGUGGGGGAGCAAACAGGAUUAGAUACCCUGGUAGUCCACGCCCUAAACGAUGUCAACUAGUUGUUGGGGAUUCAUUUCCUUAGUAACGUAGCUAACGCGUGAAGUUGACCGCCUGGGGAGUACGGUCGCAAGAUUAAAACUCAAAGGAAUUGACGGGGACCCGCACAAGCGGUGGAUGAUGUGGAUUAAUUCGAUGCAACGCGAAAAACCUUACCUACCCUUGACAUGGUCGGAAUCCCGCUGAGAGGUGGGAGUGCUCGAAAGAGAACCGGCGCACAGGUGCUGUAUGGCUGUCGUCAGCUCGUGUCGUGAGAUGUUGGGUUAAGUCCCGCAACGAGCGCAACCCUUGUCCUUAGUUGCUACGCAAGAGCACUCUAAGGAGACUGCCGGUGACAAACCGGAGGAAGGUGGGGAUGACGUCAAGUCCUCAUGGCCCUUAUGGGUAGGGCUUCACACGUCAUACAAUGGUCGGAACAGAGGGUUGCCAACCCGCGAGGGGGAGCUAAUCCCAGAAAACCGAUCGUAGUCCGGAUUGCACUCUGCAACUCGAGUGCAUGAAGCUGGAAUCGCUAGUAAUCGCGGAUCAGCAUGCCGCGGUGAAUACGUUCCCGGGUCUUGUACUCACCGC
rnacentral:rRNA from 1 species